AGAUUGAACGCUGGCGGCAGGCCUAACACAUGCAAGUCGAGCGGCAGCACGGGUACUUGUACCUGGUGGCGAGCGGCGGACGGGUGAGUAAUGCCUAGGAAUCUGCCUGGUAGUGGGGGAUAACGCUCGGAAACGGACGCUAAUACCGCAUACGUCCUACGGGAGAAAGCGAGGGGACCUUCGGGCCUUGCGCUAUCAGAUGAGCCUAGGUCGGAUUAGCUAGUUGGUGAGGUAAUGGC
rnacentral:rRNA from 1 species